AGCGAACGCUGGCGGCAGGCCUAACACAUGCAAGUCGAACGAAGCCUUCGGGCUUAGUGGCGGACGGGUGAGUAACACGUGGGAACGUACCUUUUGGUUCGGAAUAACGCAGAGAAAUUUGCGCUAAUACCGAAUGAGCCCUUAGGGGGAAAGAUUUAUCGCCGAAAGAUCGGCCCGCGUUGGAUUAGGUAGUUGGUGUGGUAAAGGCGCACCAAGCCUACGAUCCAUAGCUGGUCUGAGAGGAUGAUCAGCCACACUGGGACUGAGACACGGCCCAGACGCCUACGGGAGGCAGCAGUGGGGAAUCUUGCGCAAUGGGCGAAAGCCUGACGCAGCCAUGCCGCGUGAAUGAUGAAGGUCUUAGGAUUGUAAAAUUCUUUUACCAGGGACGAUAAUGACGGUACCUGGAGAAAAAGCCCCGGCUAACUUCGUGCCAGCAGCCGCAGUAAUAC
rnacentral:rRNA from 1 species